CCUACGGGGAGCAGCAGUGGGGAAUAUUGGGCAAUGGGCGCAAGCCUGACCCAGCAACGCCGCGUGAAGGAAGAAGGCUUUCGGGUUGUAAACUUCUUUUCUCAGGGACGAAGCAAGUGACGGUACCUGAGGAAUAAGCCACGGCUAACUACGUGCCAGCAGCCGCGGUAAUACGUAGGUGGCAAGCGUUAUCCGGAUUUACUGGGUGUAAAGGGCGUGUAGGCGGGAAAGCAAGUCAGAUGUGAAAACCAUGGGCUCAACCUGUGGCCUGCAUUUGAAACUGUUUUUCGUGAGUACUGGAGAGGCAGACGGAAUUCCUAGUGUAGCGGUGAAAUGCGUAGAGAUUAGGAGGAACACCAGUGGCGAAGGCGGUCUGCUGGACAGCAACUGACGCUGAGGCGCGAAAGCGUGGGGAGCAAACAGGAUUAGAUACCCGAGUAGUC
rnacentral:rRNA from 1 species